rnacentral:rRNA from 1 species
UACGGAGGAUGCGAGCGUUAUCCGGAUUUAUUGGGUUUAAAGGGUGCGUAGGCGGCUUAGUAAGUCAGCGGUGAAAUUUUGCAGCUUAACUGUAACAGUGCCGUUGAUACUGCCAGGCUAGGAUUUGGUUGCUGUGGGUGGAAUGUGUGGUGUAGCGGUGAAAUGCUUAGAUAUCACACAGAAUGUCGAUUGCGAAGGCAGCUCACAAAGCCAAGAUUGACGCUGAGGCACGAAAGUGUGGGGAUCAAACA